rnacentral:rRNA from 1 species
AAACUUUUUCAUUAUUUUUCCACUUUUAGGUGAGUUCUUGAUCCAUAGGAAUGAUUAUUAGAUUAAAUUACCUUAGGGAUAACAGCGUAAUCCUUUUUGAGAGUUCUAAUCGAUAAUAGGGUUUGCGACCUCGAUGUUGGAUUAAAAUUAAAUCUUGGUGCAGAUGCUAGGAGGUUGGGUCUGUUCGACCCUUAGAAUUUUACGUGAUCUGAGUUCA